GACGAACGCUGGCGGCGUGCUUAACACAUGCAAGUCGAACGGAAAGGCCCUGCUUUUGUGGGGUGCUCGAGUGGCGAACGGGUGAGUAACACGUGAGUAACCUGCCCUUGACUUUGGGAUAACUUCAGGAAACUGGGGCUAAUACCGGAUAGGAGCUCCUGCUGCAUGGUGGGGGUGGGAAAGUUUCGGCGGUUGGGGGUGGACUCGCGGCUUAUCAGCUUGUUGGUGGGGUAGUGGCUUACCAAGGCUUUGACGGGUAGCCGGCCUGAGAGGGUGACCGGCCACAUUGGGACUGAGAUACGGCCCAGACUCCUACGGGAGGCAGCAGUGGGGAAUAUUGCACAAUGGGCGGAAGCCUGAUGCAGCAACGCCGCGUGCGGGAUGACGGCCUUCGGGUUGUAAACCGCUUUCGCCUGUGACGAAGCGUGAGUGACGGUAAUGGGUAAAGAAGCACCGGCUAACUACGUG
rnacentral:rRNA from 1 species